rnacentral:rRNA from 1 species
GCCUACGGGGGGCAGCAGUGGGGAAUAUUGCACAAUGGGCGAAAGCCUGAUGCAGCAACGCCGCGUGAAGGAAGAAGGGUUUCGGCUCGUAAACUUCUAUCAACAGGGACGAAAGAAAUGACGGUACCUGAAUAAGAAGCCCCGGCUAACUACGUUCCAGCAGCCGCGGGAAUACGUAGGGGGCAAGCGUUAUCCGGAAUUACUUGGUGUAAAGGGUGAGUAGGCGGCAUGGUAAGCCAGAUGUGAAAGCCUUGGGCUUAACCCGAGGAUUGCAUUUGGAACUAUCAAGCUAGAGUACAGGAGAG